GUGAUCACCCAGUGAUCAGGUUGUUCGAACGGUAGUCGGGAAUCCGGUGAGACUCCGGAACUGACGCGCAGCGGUAUUGGGGAACGAGCGUGGCACGAAGACACUGGCAAUCGCCGGGAAGUCGCCACGCAAGGCCGAACCAUCAGGUUCACGCCCCUGAGUCCGAAGACCUGCCAGGGAUGUGGAGCCCCAA
rnacentral:ncRNA from 18 species